UCAAGUCCUUGCUGCAGCACUGCUCCUCAGUGGCUUUGUGACUUUGGUCUCUCUGGGAUUAUCCCCAGGAAGCUGAAGGACCCAGGAGCACCCUGACAAGCACAGACCCUUGGUGGGGGACGUUCAUCAGCAAUGCAAUGCUGAGAAGUCUGACACCCCGCUUCCUGAUCCUGUGUGUGUGACCUGUUUCUGUCCUGAAGCUUAUGGAAUCCUCUGAAUGUUCUGAAACUUUAUAAGGUACCUUGCUGUCAGUUCAUUUUCAUGUGCUGGACACUCAGUCUGUCUGAAAACUCA
rnacentral:lncRNA from 1 species